AAUCAACGCUGGCGGCGUGCCUAACACAUGCAAGUCGAACGAGAAAGUGGAGCAAUCCAUGAGUAAAGUGGCGCACGGGUGAGUAACACGUGACUAACCUACCCUUGAGUGGGGGAUAACCUCGGGAAACCGGGGCUAAUACCGCAUAACACCGAGAGGUCAAAGGAGCAAUUCGCUUAAGGAGGGGGUCGCGGCUGAUUAGCUAGUUGGUGAGGUAAUGGCUCACCAAGGCGANGAUCAGUAUCCGGCCUGAGAGGGCGCACGGACACACUGGAACUGAAACACGGUCCAGACUCCUACGGGAGGCAGCAGUGGGGAAUUUUGCGCAAUGGGGGAAACCCUGACGCAGCAACGCCGCGUGGAGGAUGAAGUCCCUUGGGACGUAAACUCCUUUCGAUCGGGACGAUAAUGACGGUACCGAGAGAAGAAGCCCCGCUAACUUCGUGCCAGCAGCCGCGGUAA
rnacentral:rRNA from 1 species